AGCCAUCCUUGGGAUACCACCCUUGUAGUACUGGGACUCUAACCAUAGGCCAUGAAUCUGGUCUUGGGACACUGUCAGGUGGGCAGUUUGACUGGGGCGGUCGCCUCCCAAAAGGUAACGGAGGCGCGCAAAGGUUCUCUCAGUACGGUCGGAAAUCGUACGUAGAGUGUAAAGGCAAAAGAGAGCUUGAUUGCAAGACAUACAGGUCGAGCAAGGAUGAAAAUCGGACUUAGUGAUCCGGUGGUUCUGCGUGGAAGGGCCAUCGCUCAACGGAUAAAAGCUACCCUGGGGAUAACAGGCUUAUCUCCCCCAAGAGUCCACAUCGACGGGGAGGUUUGGCACCUCGAUGUCGGCUCAUCACAUCCUGGGGCUGUAGUAGGUCCCAAGGGUUGGGCUGUUCGCCCAUUAAAGUGGUACGCGAGCUGGGUUCAGAACGUCGUGAGACAGUUCGGUCCCUAUCCGUCGCAGGCGUAGGAAAUUUGAGAAGACCUGUCCUUAGUA
rnacentral:rRNA from 1 species